UUAAUUGAAACCAAAAUAGAGGUAAAUCACUGUUAAUGAUUUUACUGGGUCACCCCCCAAUUAAA
rnacentral:tRNA from 1 species